AUGGGGUGCAGACUGGGGUGGGGGCACCCAUGGGGUCAGGGAACCCCAAUAAAGGAGCCCUAUGGGCAGCAGACAAGGGUAGGGGGCAGCAGGGGACAAGGGGCGGGGCCAGGAGGAGGGGGCGUGGCUUUAGGUGGAGGCUCCACCCCCGAAGGGAAGACACAGGAGGGGGGAAGUGGGCGGAGUCUAUGCAAAUGGAGGCGUGGCAUGCCCUUAUAUGGGAGGGGAGAGGGGCGUGUCUUACCCAUCAGGGGGCGGGGCCAGGCGGAGGGGGUGUGGCUUCAGUCGAAGCCAAUGGGAGCCGGUGUAGAAGUGGGCGGGGUCUACCCAAAUGGGGGCGUGGCUUGGAGAUAUGGGCGGGGGAAAGGGGCGUGUCUUGCCCUUAUAUGGGAGAGGAAAGGGGCGUGUCUUACCCUUAUAUGGGAGGGGAAAGGGGCGUGUCUUGCCCUUAUAUGGGAAGGGAAAGGGGCGUGUCUUACCCUUAUAUGGGUGGGGGAAGGGGGCGUGUCUUGCCCUUAUAUGGGAGAGGAAAGGGGCGUGUCUUGCCCUUAUAUGGGAGGGGAAGGGGCGUGUCUUGCCCUUAUAUGGGAGAGGAAAGGGGCGUGUCUUGUCCUUAUAUGGGAAGGGAAAGGGGCGUGUCUUGCCCUUAUAUGGGAGAGGAAAGGGGCGUGUCUUGCCCUUAUAUGGGAGGGAAAGGGGCGUGUCUUACCCUUAUAUGGGAGGGGAAGGGGGCGUGUCUUGCCCUUAUAUGGGAAGGGAAAGGGGCGUGUCUUGCCCUUAUAUGGAGGGGAAGGGGGCGUGGCUUACCCUUAUAUGGGCGGGGAAAGGGGCGUGUCUUACCCUUAUAUGGGAGGGGAAAGGGGCGUGUCUUGUCCUUAUAUGGGAGGGGAAAGGGGCGUGUCUUGCCCUUAUAUGGGAGGGGAAAGGGGCGUGUCUUACCCUUAUAUGGGAGGGGAAAGGGGCGUGUCUUACCCUUAUAUGGGAGGGGAAAGGGGCGUGUCUUGCCCUUAUAUGGGAGGGGAAGGGGGCGUGUCUUGCCCUUAUACGGGAGGGGAAGGGGCGUGUCUUGUCCUUAUAUGGGAAGGGAAAGGGGCGUGUCUUGCCCUUAUAUGGGAGGGGAAAGGGGCGUGUCUUACCCUUAUAUGGGAGGGGAAAGGGGCGUGUCUUGCCCUUAUAUGGGAGGGGAAAGGGGCGUGUCUUGCCCUUAUAUGGGUGGGGGAAGGGGCGUGUCUUGCCCUUAUAUGGGAGGGGAAGGGGGCAUGUCUUACCCUUAUAUGGGUGGGGGAAGGGGGCAUGUCUUGCCCUUAUAUGGGAGGGGAAGGGGGCGUGUCUUGUCCUUAUAUGGGUGGGGGAAGGGGGCGUGUCUUGCCCUUAUAUGGGAGAGGAAAGGGGCGUGUCUUGCCCUUAUAUGGGAGGGGAAGGGGGCGUGUCUUACCCUUAUAUGGGAGGGAAAGGGGCGUCUUACCCUUAUAUGGGAGAGGAAAGGGGCGUGUCUUGCCCUUAUAUGGGAGGGGAAGGGGGCGUGUCUUGCCCUUAUAUGGGAGGGGAAAGGGGCGUGUCUUGCCCUUAUAUGGGAGGGGAAAGGGGCGUGUCUUGCCCUUAUAUGGGAGGGAAAGGGUCGUGUCUUGCCCUUAUAUGGGAAGGGAAGUGUCUUGUCCUUAUAUGGGAGGGGAAGGGGCGUGUCUUGCCCUUAUAUGGGAGGGGAAGGGGGCGUGUCUUGCCCUUAUAUGGGAGAGGAAGGGGGCGUGUCUUACCCUUAUAUGGGAGGGGAAGGGGCGUGUCUUACCCUUAUAUGGGAGGGGAAGGGGCGUGUCUUGCCCUUAUAUGGGCGGGGAAGGGGGCGUGGCUUACCCGUCGGGGGCGGGGCCAGGCGCGGCCGGUGAGGGGGGGCCGGACUCGGAGGAGCUGGAGCUGGAGUCGGAGUCGGAGGAGGAUGAGGAGGAGGAGGAGGAAGAAGAGGACGAGGAUGAAGAGGAUGAGGAUGAGGAGGAGGAGGAGCCUCCCUUGGGCGUGGCCGUGACGUCAGCGGUGACGUCAGCAGUGACGUCAGCGGUGCUGGUGUCCGGAGGGGGGGCGCUGGCUGUGGUGUCCGCGGCGGCCUUGGUUAUACUGGGAGCACUGGGAGCACUGGUAUCCAUAGGAGCAAUGGUGGUACUGGGAGCACUGGUCAGACUGGUGCCACUGGAAGCAAUGGUAUCCUUAGGAGCAAUGGUGGUACUGGGAGCAC
ensembl:lncRNA